rnacentral:lncRNA from 1 species
AUACCUAGCAUUCUGUAUAUAUGCAAAACAUACACAAAUAAGAGGGCUACGAAAACUUAUGCUUUGUCCAAGAUGGUUUGGGUGUAAGCAUUUUACAGUCUAUUUAGUAGUAGGUUUUGUCAUAUUUUUUUCUUUAGUUAAAGUUGGACUGUCAGAUAUGAUAGCGUUGUCACUUAAUCGUAUACCGGAGGAAAUGUUCCCAUCCGAUCAUUUAAUGGUUGUGAGUGAAAUUAAAGUGACAUAUCACUGAUUUCGUGGAACGAAAUUUAGAUUUUACGCUCUGGCGAAGAACUUGGAAUUUAGAACCAAGAACUUAGAAUUUUACGUGAAACUAUAGAUGUGUUAUGUUAAAUGAAUAUAAGUUCUUUGUACGUUUGCAUGGCGAUAAAACAUAUAAUAGUUUUGUUUGUGGAAACACCACGUAAAUUUAUUACUGCAAAGCUUUCGAUCCGUAAGCCCGGAUCUUCAUCAGUGCAUCAUCAAUAUAUUCAUCUUCAUCAAUAUAUUACUAGCACUGAUCAGUGACUGAUGAAGAUCCGGGCUUACGGAUCGAAAGCUUUGCAGUAAUAAAUUUACGUGGUGUUUCCACAAACAAAACUAUUAAAUGAAUAUAGUUGUAGAUAAUUCUGUAAAGAUAUAGUGAUCGGUGUUGAGUAUAGUGACGGAAUAUUUUACUUUUGCUAUAAAUUGUUGUUGAAGGUAACAUACUCUUUUCAUAAAGGCACAUUUCCACUCAGG